GUUGCUUACGCGAGCAAAACACUCAACCCCGCCGAACACAAAUACUCAGACUGCGAGAAAGCGCUGCUGUCGACAGUCUGGGCGAUCAAACAAUUCACCAGUUAUGUCGGCGGACAAAAGGUGAUCAUAGAAACAUGUCACCAGCCUGUGACUUUUCUGAAAAGCCAACGAAUCCGUGAGGGUGCUGUACACAACAGCAGGAUAGCGGCUUGGCUCAUGACGCUGCAGAGCCAUGAUGUAGUAAUCAACUACGCAAAAGCAAAGAACCUGCCUUUGGGCAGCGCUUUGGCGGUGUGUCAACACUGUGGUGACGAUGAAACCGACUCCGGACCACCCCCGCGUGACAUCGCUCCGCCAUUGCCUUCGAACCAUCACUAUUUCGAAGAGAACGUGUGUCUCGACAUGCCGAUGGCAUUUGUAGAUGGCUGUUCUUACCGCCAUCUAGACCACUUGCAAGCUGGGGUGGGAUUGGUAUGGCACAACGACAUUCCGUGCAAACCACUUAAAUUUCAGCUUGGCAACAAGACCAGCCAGUUUGCAGAAGUGGCUGGCGUGCUGAUCACCCUGCAAACAGCGGUGAAACACGAAUUGGCAGAACUGGCGAUCUGCACCGACUCAAACUACGCGUUCUUAUGCCACUUGCCGUUUUGGAAACAAAAGCACAUGACUACUUCAAGUGGUAAAGAGGUGAAAAACAAAGAGCUCAUUCUAGCUUGUGAUGACCUCAUCACCAAACACGACAUACAGGUGUAUUGGAAGAAAGUCAAGGGACACUCCAAAUCACCUGGUCGUGACAAACUUGGCAACGACCAUGCUGACAGCAUGGCGAAAUCUGGUGCAAUUCACGGCACCCCUUGGGUGUUUGCUGCUCGAGACGAAAAACCCACUGAGGAAGCUAUGGUGUCUGCGGUAACGCGUAGCCAUGUAGCACCACGGAAAACGUCGUCGCACAAACAUAGUGUGUUGCUAACGCAUUCAUUCAUGAAUGGCGACCUGGUAGCAAUGCAACACCAAGAUGAGUCCCUCGCCACGUUGAUGGCAUUCCUGUCGGAUCCUGUCAACCAUCCAGUGUCCGAACUGGCUUUGGCAGGUUCACACGACUUGCGUUCGCUGUAC
rnacentral:lncRNA from 1 species